UGGUAUUUAGUUUAAAACAAAAUAAAUGAUUUCGACUCAUUAGAUUGUGAUUAAAUUCAUAAUUACCAA
rnacentral:tRNA from 8 species